rnacentral:rRNA from 1 species
GCGACGCCUGCCCAGUGAAUAAUUAAACGGCCGCGGUAUCCUAACCGUGCAAAGGUAGCAUAAUCAUUUGUCUAUUAAUUGUAGACCUGUAUGAAAGGCUAAAUGAGAGUCCAACUGUCUCUUACAACAAAUCAAUAAAACUGAUCUCCUAGUACAAAAGCUAGAAUACUGACAUAAGACCAGAAGACCCUGUGAAGCUUUAAUAAACCCAUUAAACCAAAUAAUGCUUACUUUCGGUUGGGGCGACCUUGGAAUAAAAAAGAACUUCCAACAUAUGACCUCCUCAUAAAACUAAGGCAAACAAGCCAAUAUUAGAUCCAGCACCGCUGAUAAUUGAAAUAAGUUACUCCAGGGAUAACAGCGCUAUCUUCUUUAAGAGCCCAUAUCAAAAAGAAGGUUUACGACCUCGAUGUUGGAUCAGGACAUCCCAGUAAUGCAACCGUUACUAAAGGUUCGUUUGUUCAACGAUUAACAGUCCUACGUGAUCUGAGUUCAGACCGGA